GAGGAAUCCAUCCCAAGGAAUGCCAAGGGAUCCAUCCUGAGGAAUCCAUCCCAAGGAAUGCCAAGGGAUCCUGAGGAACCCAUCUGGAUCAAUCCCAAGGAAUCCCUCCCAAGGAAUCCCGAGCCUCCCGUGCCCCAAAGUGCCGGAAUCCCUUAAUUAAUUUGCUAAAUUGCUAAUUGUGACCUUUGGCCCCGAAGGAGACCGAGAGAGAGGGGGGAAAUAAAUCUGAAAUUCCACCGGAAUUCCUCUUCUGAUGGCCAGUGGGAACGGAGAGGGAUUUAGGGACACAACUCUGGGAUAAAUCCUGGACUAAAUCCGGGAUUCAGACCCGUGAGGAGCGCCUGGACGUGGCAGGAAACCUCAAAAUCACCCCUUAACCUCAUCAUUUUUAGGGUUUUUUCCUAAUUUUGCUUCCAUUUCCCCCUGCCUGGGACGAGCCCCUGCCUCGGGAUGGAUUUUGGGACACCCCGACCCCGAGCGAGGCUUUGCCCUGGGAACCUCCCAACCUUUUCUACUCCUCCCGUGCCACCAAAAUUCAGGAUUCACCUCCAAAAUAACCCCCAAACCGGGGCAAAAAACCAAACCCAAACCCCCAAAUCCAGCAGGAGGUAAAUUUCCAUUCCCCCCACCACAAAUUAUGGAUUAUGGAUUUUUUUUUUUUUUCCCCUCCCCCCUUUAUUUUUAAUUUUCUGCUGCUCCUCAGGUGUUUAUCCUGAUAAUCAAAUUUUGGGUGUGUUUUAUCCCCUGGCUGGCUCAGCUGUCACUGCUGGUGAUUCGAGCCACAGGCAGGGUCUAAUUAAUAUUUUCCUUCUCAUCUGCUGGAUUUAUGGAACAAUUACAGAUCAAUAAGGAUGCUUGGUGGCACUCAGACCCCAAACCCGACUUUCUUGCAGCCCCUGGGGGAUUUUUUUUUCCUCUGUAUUUUAUGAUAUAAAACCACCAAAAUGCUCCAGCUGAGUCGUGAUCUUGCCCAGAUUUGGAAGUUUUAUUCCCAAAUCAAGAAUUUCCCUAAAAAUGGCUUCUUUCCCCAAAGUGGGAAGAAAAAGGGAAUUUAUCACCCUUUUUUUUUUUACCCCAAAUCUGAUUUCCCUUUGUCAUGGUGAUGAGUUAAUGUGGGUUUUUCUCUGGAUUUCACUUUUUUUCCCAAUGGUUAAAUUUGGAAUUAUUAAUUCCAAUCGUUUCAGGCCUGGCUUUUCCUGUUUUUCUGCACAUGGGAACAGCAAGAUUUUGGGUUUUUUCUCUUCCCCCGCAGCCCCUGGAACUGCUGGGAAACAUCCAAGAGUUCUGAAAUGCCACAGAUUUCAAGAAAAAACCAGAUUUUAAAGAGCAAGAACUGUACCAGUCCCCGGGGUUUGUGCUGCAGCUGGGAUUUUGGGAGAAAAUCCGGAUUUAGGGAAGGAUUCAGGCUGGGAGAAGCUGUGCUAGCAAUGCAAACAGGGUUAAAGAAUCCUCCUUGUUCCAUUUCUCUGAGUGGAGAAGCAGCAGAUCUGCAAUUAGAGAUGGAAAUAUUCCAUUUUUAUAUUUUAAAAAAAUCCAUUUUUUUUUACAGUUUAUUCCAUCAAUACACGCACACAUAAAUCACCAAUUUUAACAGCAAAUAAAGAACAAUUUUUAAAACUGUCAAAAAGCGAUUUCCACACCAAACAACACCCCCCAAAACAGGGGGAAAAUCACCUCAGCCAUGCAAAUAAACAGAUUUUUUUGCAAGCCCAGGUCCCAGGCAGCAUCUCGAGCCAUAAUUACCAGCACUGAGAGCGAGGAGGGAGCAGAUUGCUCCAGCAGGGCCCGUGGGUGGAGGAAUAAAACCUCAAAUAGAUGCUCUGAAUCUGCAUUUUUCCAGGCAGAAUUCAGCUCUGGGGGCGAGUGGGAGCAGGGAAUUUGGGUUUUAAAUGGA